rnacentral:rRNA from 1 species
AUUGAACGCUGGCGGCAGGCCUAACACAUGCAAGUCGAGCGAGCGGCGGACGGGUGAGUAAUGUAUUGGGCCUGCCCGAUAGAGGGGGUUAACUACAGGAAACGGUAGCUAAUACCGCAUACUAUCGGAUAACCCAUAUGGGAUUAGCCAGUGGGUGAGGUAAUGGCUCACCUCGGCGACGAUCCCUAGCUGGUCUGAGAGGAUGAUCAGCCACACUGGGACUGAGACACGGCCAAGACUCCUACGGAGGCAGCAGUGGGGAAUAUUGCACAAUGGGCGCAAGCCUGAUGCAGCCAUGCCGCGUGUAUGAAGAAGGCCCUAGGGUUGUAAAGUACUUUCAGUCGGGAGGCGUUACCGACAGAAGAAGCACCGGCUAACUCCGUGCCAGCAGCCGCGGUAAUAC